rnacentral:misc_RNA from 1 species
AAGUCGUAACAAGGUUUCCGUAGGUGAACCUGCGGAAGGAUCAUUAAUACGCUUUUGUUUGUAACAAAACAAAACGUUUUAAACCCCAAAAUUGAAAUAGUGGAAACAUAAUUUCCGGAUGCGAAUGUUGGGGAACUUGAGUAAAAUCGGUUCUUUGAAAAAGGGACUUCAAGCAAUUGACACUUCAGAGUAGAGCAGUGAGGUGAAACUCGAAAGAGUUUGGUUCUGAAAAACAUUUGUAUCCGGUUAUCACAUCUGUUCUACAAACAAAUUAUCAAACAAUAAACCCCAUGUACAACAACUUGAACUAAACAUUUUUUUGUUGUCUGCUUUGCGGCAGAUGCAAAGAAAAAACCUGAACUUAAGAACAACUCUUAACAACGGAUAUCUUGGUUCUC